rnacentral:rRNA from 1 species
AUCGUACUGAUAGUGCAAUGGCAAAAGAAGGCUUGACUGCGAGACCCACAAGUCGAGCAGGUGCGAAAGCAGGUCAUAGUGAUCCGGUGGUUCUGUAUGGAAGGGCCAUCGCUCAACGGAUAAAAGGUACUCUGGGGAUAACAGGCUGAUUCCGCCCAAGAGUUCACAUCGACGGCGGAGUUUGGCACCUCGAUGUCGGCUCAUCACAUCCUGGGGCUGUAGCCGGUCCCAAGGGUAUGGCUGUUCGCCAUUUAAAGUGGUACGUGAGCUGGGUUUAAAACGUCGUGAGACAGUUUGGUCCCUAUCUGCCGUGGGCGCUGGAUAUUUGAGGGGGCCUGCUCCUAGUACGAGAGGACCGGAGUAGACGAAUCUCUGGUGUACCGGUUGUGACGCCAGUCGCAUCGCCGGGUAGCUAAAUUCGGAAGAGAUAAC